rnacentral:rRNA from 1 species
GGAUUAGAUACCCUGGUAGUCCACGCUGUAAACGAUGUCAACUAGCUGUCUGUGUUCUUGAAACGUGGGUAGCGUAGCUAACGCGCUAAGUUGACCGCCUGGGGAGUACGGCCGCAAGGUUAAAACUCAAAUGAAUUGACGGGGGCCCGCACAAGCGGUGGAGCAUGUGGUUUAAUUCGAUGCAACGCGAAGAACCUUACCAUCCCUUGACAUCCAGAGAAUUUUCUAGAGAUAGAUUAGUGCCUUCGGGAACUCUGAGACAGGUGCUGCAUGGCUGUCGUCAGCUCGUGUUG